UAACAUAGUAGGUCCAUGCUUUGAGUACCCUCUCAUCAUCUCUCAUGCACUCACCCUCUUUUUCCCUCUCUCCCCAUCUCGCCAGCUCCAUCCGCCAAGCCCCCAACCACCACUGUAUGAAUUCCUCCCUCCCUCCGUCGUCGUAUCAUUAUACAGAAUUAACAGGUCGGAGCUCGUAUCACGGCAACGGCGUGCCGUGUUGAUUGCUCUGGGGAUCUCUAUCCCAUUAAAAAUUGCCCCGUCCAUUGGUGUGCAGGGCUUCUCUCUCAGUUCAAUUCUCUUUUCCCGUCUUCUAUCCGCCGGUCAUCGUGACGUGCGCGCAGGCAUGGAUGGAUAGCCAGCCAGUUCACUCUGCGUGUGAUCUUGCCACGGAUAGCUCAUAACCAUCUCAUAAUAUCUCUCUUAAUCAGACUUACCAUUUAACGACGAUCUCCGUGUGCAUCCACGAAUGUCUCUCGAAGACUUGGGUCUUUGAUCAUCGUUUAUUAUUAUCUCUCUGCAUUGUUUACUGUUACUGCGUAUGGUUCAGUGAUACACUAGGAUAUUUGUUUUGAGUAAGACUCCUCCAACAGAUUAAAUUCUACCUGGAAUUCAGCUGUCAUACCAAGCCUUAGGCGAUCGCUGACAUACUUUGAGAGGGUGCACUGAAAGCCCUCAUCGUGUGGUAUCCAUCAAACAUGAGAUGAAAGACACGGCAAAGCCCUGUAACUCGAUUAUCCAUACUAGAUCACUGUAAACACACACCCCACUCAUUAUCUACCAUCUUGAACUUGCAUCAGUCGACACCUUUUAGACAAGAAGAUCCCACGGUUAAUUAGGCUUGUUGUUGGAGCUAUCAAGACGCAGCAGCCUGCUUGUUUUCGUGCUGCUCCUGAUGGUGACUGAAUUAUCGCCCAUACCGCAAUUGAUUUCUGGAUGAGUGGCUGCGCCUUGCUUCUGUCUCGUUGCAUGCUUGGAUGAUCCUGUGAAGCAGUCACAUGCUGGAUUGAUAUGUGGGGCAAUUUGUUUGGUGUGGAGUAGCUCUGGACCAGCUGAGCCGUCGAUGAGAAGUGUUGAGAGGCACGAUCAUCGCUAAAGGAACGAAAAAGCAAGUUAAUCGAGCGUAAGCUUCGAUCAAUAUGACAUGAAUUUAGAGCUGGUAGAAGCAAGGUGAGUUGCGUCAUCGUACCAAGUGAAUAUCAUCUCCAUGAUGGAAUCGCUGGGAUUAGCGCCUGUGGUUUUAUAAAUACCUGUCCUUCGACCUGAUAUUCCUGGCAUCCUUUACCUUUGUCAUUCAUGUGCAUACGAUCCUGAUCCUAAAUGAAGCAUUAAAUGGGUUUUUGAUGAGGAAAGGAACGCACUUCUUCAGAGAGUACAUGUUUUAAUCUUCAAGAACAUAAACAAUGUGAAUAAUUGCUGCAAAAGGAAACAAUACAGUUAGGACUUCAUGAAGUGGCUCUGUUCCAGGGGGGUUGUAAUUUGUACCUAGGUGUCACUGUCAACCUGAAAUGAAUGUCUCUGACAAAGAGAACAGCGCGUGGCAACCCCUCCGACUCCAAGCACAAACGCCACUACCCGUUCUUGGCGCACAGCUCCCGUCACCCCAGCAACGCCUACUACACACCCCUCCAAGGGGCCGGUGAUCUCCGCUUCUACCCCCCGCCCGGCUCCACCAACCCGACCCAGCUUCGCCAGCACCACCAUCCGACGAAGAACAAGAUGUCCAAUGCUUCGCGGCAGGUUGGUAAUCGCAGGCUCCCGCCCCUGCCGGCACCGGGUCAGAACAGACGUAACCAGCCCACCAGCCCCCAUGGUGCAGGGAAGAGUAGCGUUGGUGGGUCAUCUACCUACCAUGGUAGCCAAACAUCAAGCGCCAGAAGCAGAGGAGGAAGUAGUACCUCAAGUUAUUCUGGUGUACGUGUCAGCGUCAGCUAUGAUAUGAUCGUCAAAGGUUUGUCAACAUACGGAAAUGGAUAUGCCAAAAAUAAUAAUAGAAUCAGCCAAUCACAGGCGACAUCAGACCAGAUAGGCCAUAUACCAGAAAAUAUUGUGCAAGAGCACAUCCGGCACUACCUGGACGAAAACCCGCAAUUCCUGGAGGACUACAUCCUCAACCACACCAGCGCUGAACAGGUGGAAAAAUGGCUGAACAGCAUUCGCAGGAAACCCGCACCGAGGAGUGCCGGACGUAGCCCCGGACACCAGACACAGGCCCUGAAGCGGCCCCUGUUGCAGAGCUCAACUUCAACCAUCGGUAUCCCUGGGCCACAUAAUUCAAAGCUCGAAGGAACGUUUACAGGGGAAACGAUACGAGCUUCACAUGCCAAUGCAAGACAGUGGAAGAGUUCAGCGUUUCAGGAGAGGAGAAAACAGAUGUAUGAUCUAGCCAUCGAUAUUCAGACCUACAAUCAUAGAUUAGGUCUCAUCAAUGAACUAGCUAUAUGUAUUGAAGAAAGAAUUCAUGCUGAUGGAUACACUCUUUAUGCUGUUACAGGAAACGGCUCGGAGUUGUUUGAAUACAAGGGCAAUGAAAAGAGUGAGCCUGGGCAGAGACCGACAUGGGCGGUGGCCAAAGGUCAAACCAUCAGUGGCUAUGUGGCCUACUCUGGUCAAGUGGUCAACACAAAAGACCCAACAGGGAAUGAACUUCAUCCCCACGGUGUAGCAGCACAAAGUGUAACAGCCCAUGCUGUAUUGGCUCUUCCAGUUAUCGAGCUUACAGACGAACUUUCAGGAUCCGAAUGUGAGCACCAUAAUCAAGUGGCGGGCGUGUUGGAGUUUUACCGUUCUGAUGCCAAAGCAUUCUCAACAGAGGAUGAGAUGCACGCUGACUCGUAUUUAUUAUGGGGGACGCUAACCGUGCAUUAUGCACAGUUUGGAAAUGACAAGGACUUUGACAAAAAGCUGUACGUUGACAUGAUUAGACAACGGAAACAGAAUGAUUUCCUGCUUGCUGUUACAAAAUCAAUCUUCACAGAUAUUGUCAGUAUGGACAGUGUAAUCAUGAAAAUCAUGAACUUUGCUCAGAAAUUAGUAAAUGCAGACAGGGCUUCACUGUUCCUGGUGGACAGCAAGAAGAAUGAACUGUACGCUAGGAUCUUUGACAUCGGUAAUGGUCUCGGUAACCCCAUGGAUGACAAAGACCAAAAAGAGAUCAGGUUCUCAAUGGCAAAAGGAGUUGCUGGUCAUGUGGCUUCUACAGGGGACAUCCUCAAUAUUCCUGAUGCAUAUCAAGAUGAGAGAUUUAACAGAGAGGUCGAUCUUCAAACUGGUUACGUCACCAAGACCAUCCUGUGUAUGCCUAUCUACAUCAGAGGAAAUGUAAUAGGCGUUGUUCAGAUGGUGAAUAAGAAGAACGGGCUGUUCACUCGGGCAGAUGAACAAGCGUUCGAGACGUUUGCAGUCUAUUGUGGUCUGGCGUUACAUCAUGCAAAGCUGUAUGACAAGAUCCGACGGUCAGAGCAGAAACAUAAGGUCGCUCUAGAAGUUCUCAGCUACCAUGCGAUGUGCAUGGAUAACGAGUUCAAAGGUCUCAGGAACAUGCCUCUCCCUGACCCCAUGCCUGACAUAGCAAGAUAUGACUUUUCUCCAUGGGGAUUAGAAGAGGAAGCUAAGCCGCUGUAUGUGCUAUGUAUGUUCAAGGAUAUGUUUGAUCUCAACAAUCCACCACCAGGUCAUCCUGAUCAUCAACAAAGGUUUGACUAUGAUGAGCUCUGUCGAUUCAUCUUAACCGUUCGGAAGAACUACCGUAGAGUGCCCUACCAUAACUGGACCCAUGCCUUCUCAGUUGCUCACAGUGUCUAUACUAUGAUCAAGACUGGCAACGGCCAAGUCUUCAAUCCAUUAGAGGCCUUGGCUCUGUUUGUCGCCUGCCUAUGUCAUGACCUUGAUCAUCGGGGCAAGAACAAUGCCUUCAUGGUGAACACUGCAUCACCUUUAGCUUCGGUCUACUCCACCUCAACGAUGGAACACCAUCACUUCAACAUGACCAUAACGAUACUCCAGAAUGAUGGCCACAAUAUCUUCAAGCACUUAUCGUCAGAAGAAUACAAGCAAGUCUUGGGUGACAUCAGACAUGCCAUCCUAGCUACGGACCUGGCUCUCUUCUUCCCAAACAAAGCCAAACUCAAGAAGAUUGUUGAAGAGAAGAAGUUCUCUUGGGACAACCAAGAACACAGACAAUGCGUCAAGGCAUUGUCAAUGACGGCAUGUGAUUUAGCCGCCAACACGAAACCAUGGCAUAUUCAACAACAGACAGUAAAGGUGAUCUUCGAUGAGUUCUACCAACAGAAGUCUGUGCCGUGCUAUAGCCAUGACAGCAUGUGACCUGGUGGCGGUAGUCAAGCCAUUUGAUCUACAGCAGAAGGUUGCACUUGAAAUCUUCGAGGAAUUUUACCAGCAGGGUGAUGAGGAGAAAGCGGCAGGUAGGAACCCUAUUCCUAUGAUGGACAGAGACAGAGCUCAUGAACUUCCAGCUAAUC
rnacentral:misc_RNA from 1 species